rnacentral:tRNA from 1 species
AAUAAAGUGCCUGAAAAAGGAUUAUUCUGAUAGAAUCAAAUUAUGUAAUAUACUUAUGAAUUACCUUUAUUA